rnacentral:rRNA from 1 species
UUGUCAUUAGUUGCCAUCAUUUGUUGGGCACUCUAAUGAGACUGACCGGUGACAAACCGGAGGAAGGUGGGGAUGACGUCAAGUCCUCAUGGCCCUUAUGGGUAGGGCUUCACACGUCAUACAAUGGUCGGUACAGAGGGUUGCCAACCCGCGAGGGGGAGCUAAUCCCACAAAGCCGAUCGUAGUCCGGAUCGCAGUCUGCAACUCGACUGCGUGAAGUCGGAAUCGCUAGUAAUCGUGGAUCAGCAUGUCACGGUGAAUACGUUCCCGGGUCUU